UCGUUCACGCGGGGGUACUUCCAAACUGGCGCAGCUGGCGAGGAGGUUGAGAGAGUCCCUUCGUACCAGUACGGAUAAUGCCGAUGCUGGGAGCGUUCUGGCACACGGU
rnacentral:ncRNA from 1 species